CACGUAGGCGGCAGUGUAAGUCACAGGUGAAAUCCCUCGGCUCAACCGAGGAACCGCCUGCGAAACUGCAUUGCUUGAGUCCGGGAGGGGGGAGCGGAAUUCCCAGUGUAGCGGUGAAAUGCGUAGAUACUGGGAGGAACACCGGUGGCGAAGGCGGCUCCCUGGACCGGUACUGACGCUGAGGUGCGAAAGCGUGGGUAGCAAACA
rnacentral:rRNA from 1 species